AUUGAACGCUGGCGGCAGGCCUAACACAUGCAAGUCGAGCGGAUGAAGAGAGCUUGCUCUCUGAUUUAGCGGCGGACGGGUGAGUAAUGCCUAGGAAUCUGCCUGGUAGUGGGGGAUAACGUUCCGAAAGGAACGCUAAUACCGCGUACGUCCUACGGGAGAAAGCAGGGGACCUUCGGGCCUUGCGCUAUCAGAUGAGCCUAGGUCGGAUUAGCUAGUUGGUGAGGUAAUGGCUCACCAAGGCGACGAUCCGUAACUGGUCUGAGAGGAUGAUCCGUCACACUGGAACUGAGACACGGUCCAGACUCCUACGGAAGGCAGCAGUGUGGAAUAUUGGACAAUGGGCGAAAGCCUGAUCCAGGCAUGCCGCGUGUGUGAAGAAGGUCUUCGGAUUGUAAAGCACUUUAAGUUGGGAGGAAGGGCAGUAAGUUAAUACCUUGCUGUUUUGACGUUACCGACAGAAUAAGCACCGGCUAACUUCGUGCCAGCCGCCGCAGUAAAAC
rnacentral:rRNA from 1 species